CCCGCACAAGCGGUGGAGCAUGUGGUUUAAUUCGACGCAACGCGAAGAACCUUACCAGGGCUUGACAUCCCCUGACCGCGUAUGAAAGUACGUUUUCACCCUCGGGUGACAGGGAGACAGGUGGUGCAUGGUUGUCGUCAGCUCGUGCCGUGAGGUGUUGGGUUAAGUCCCGCAACGAGCGCAACCCUCAUUGUUAGUUACUACCAUUCAGUUGAGGACUCUAAUGAGACUGCCAACGACAAGUUGGAGGAAGUGGGGAUGACGUCAAAUCAUCAUGCCCUUUAUGACCUGGGCUACAAACGUACUACAAUGGCCAAUACAAAGAGAUGCGAAGCGGUGACGUGGAGCGAACCUCAGAAAGUUGGUCUCAGUUCGGAUUGUAGGCUGCAACUCGCCUACAUGAAGUCGGAAUCGCUAGUAAUCGCGGAUCAGCACGCCGCGGUGAAUACGUUCCCGGGCCUU
rnacentral:rRNA from 1 species